ensembl:lncRNA
AAAAAACGUGAGCUGUACAUUGGGAGAGCAGAGCAGAAGGCGGGAUGGAGAGGAGCUCUGGAAGCUGAACGAGGCUUUAAGAAUCCACGUUUCUGUUGACUGGAUUUACUCACUACAUCUUAUGUUUUGCCUUGUUAGCUGUGUGUAGUUGAGGACUGCAGAGGCACAGAUGUUGUUUUGUUGUCUGGGUGAGAAAAAACGGAGAUUCUGUGUGAGCGGGUUCAAGCUAACCGCUAAAGCUAACGGCUAAGCUAACGGCUAGGCUACGGCCGGCGAGCCUCGUCACGGGCUGAGUGGACUUUGAACUGGACAGACUGAGGUGCUUCUGGAUGAAGAGCUACCUGGAUGAGGAGUUACCUGGACGAGGAGUUACCUGCCGCUCCUCUGACCAUUUGUUUUCCUGAGACAUUGGAUUAUUCGUCGGCUGGCUGCUGACUUUUCAGACACUGAGCUGUGGACGUGGAUUCUGCUAACGGCUAACUGUGAGUUUGCUGACCGGAGAUCAACGCCGCUGCGGGGAUUUCGUGGGCUGCUUCCUGUGAUCAUCGUGGGUUUUCUUCUCUGCACCUGGACGACGGCGAACAACUGGAGAUCGACACACAGGACUGCAACGUCUUGGGGGUAGGUUUUGUCCUUGUGCAGCUUCUUUGCAUCCUCUGGGAUUGAUUCCCAGCCGAAAGCCAGACUUCAGUCCAAGUUGCCUUGGUUGAAAGCGCGAUUGGUGG